CACCGCGGUUAGACGGGAAGCCCAAGUUGACAGCCCCCGGCGUAAAGCGUGGUUAGGGUAAAUAUAAACUAAGGUCGAACACCCUCCCCUGCUGUUAUACGCUCUCGAGGGUGGGAAGCACAACUACGAAAGUAACCUUACUAAGCCUGAACCCACGAAAGCUGAGAUA
rnacentral:rRNA from 1 species